CAUAGACUAAGGAGCAGCUGCUAGGUGCAGCCAACCCAACAACAUCGACUCUCUGUUUUCUUGUAUUUUGUGGCAUAAAAGAAGAACAAAACCCUACCUUGUACCCGUGUUCUGUGUGCGCGUGUGUGACAGUGGUGGUAGCUAGCAUCUUCUCUCUCUGCUCCAACCUCUUAAUUUCAAAAUGGUGAAAGCAAGUGAGAGCGGUGCAGUUCCUGAGCCGGUUAUGGAUGCAGCCAACGCCACUCUCUCCAACCUUCAACUACUCCGAACGCAUUUUAACGACUUUUUGUCGCUCUCCGACCCUCAAACCCUCUCCCAAAUGCCCCCUCUUCAACGCGCUCACGCUCUCUUCAUCCUCGCUAAAAUCACCUCUACCCUUCUCGAAUUGAAUUUGAGAUGUAGUGGGGUCCACCCAGAUGAUCAUCCCAUCAAAUCAGAGCUCGACAGGGUGAACUUGUACGAGGACAAACUGGAACGUAUGGUUGAUUUGAGUAAAGCUCCACUGCGACCUUCCACUACCUUGAAUUAUCAGGCGGCUACACGCUUCAUAGAACACUCGCUGCCUGACCUGACUUCUGAGCAGAGGGCAAAUAUGAGGAACAUAAGUAGAGGGGAGAGAACAAAGACAAACCUUCCAGGUCGGGCAGGUCAAAAGAGGAAGUAUCAUUCUUCUGAAAAACAAUCUGUUAAAGCAGCUGCCAAGGAUUUUUUGGAGAAAGCUGCCCGGGAGCUUCUUGGUGAUACCAGUGGCGGUAUUAAGGGACCGCUACAAGUUGACAUGUCAGAGGAUGAUGACGACAAACAGCCCUUAUCCUGAUUUUCCAGAAAUUUGGUGGUCCCACAGGCCUGAUAGCAGGUGGCUUAAUAGGCUUAACAAGCCUUGUUAGGGUUGGCUCCAAUACCAGGUUGAACAAUAUUUUGUCGAACUGAAGAGAAUCUUAGUGAAAAGCCUGCAAUUUUCAAGUGGAGCUGUGUCCGUAAGCGUUUUUGCUUUUCCGCUUUUGGCGAUGGCUUCUAUCUUCUUGGCGACAGAAUCUUGUUAGAUGUUUCUAAUAUCAAAAUAUUUCAGUUUUGGUUAGCUUCGAUUAAUGUCAGUUUUCAAUAGAUGCUUGGGACAUUUGUCUGUUGUGGAUUUGCAGAUCAACAAUGCACAUGUCUCAAUUUUUUAUAGGCUCUUGAAUAGUAAGCUUCCACUUGCUUGGGUUCUGAAA